ACAGCAGGGUGGCCGUGGCAGCGGCGGCGAUGGACGCGUCCUCGGCCGCGUGCUUCCGCCGGUGGAAGAUAUGGCCCCACCCCAGGCUGAUCAGGCUCUUCUUCCCUUUGCUCUCCGGCACCGUGGCCAGCGUCGUCGUCGUCGCCGCCUGCUUGAGCGGCGACCCGCUGCGCCGACCCGGCGAGAGCGCCCACUGCGUGUUGCUCGACCCGAGCAAGCGGACGGAACCCGUGCGGGGGAGCAACGGAGACCGCGGCUUGGACGCCGUCCUCGGCGUGGUGGUGGAGCCCCUGGAGGCGUCGCUGCACUCCGACCCGGAGCUGGCGACGUCGGCGGCGGCGUCCAGGGAAACGGCCAUGUUGCCGAGCCUGCGGAGGUCCGACGGCGCGACGCGGCCCGGGGUGAGCGUCACGCCCGCGGGCCUGGUGGACGGGAGGAAGCGCAUGGAGCGGCCGAACGCGUGCCCGGCGCCCUUCCCUGAUGCCUGCUUCCCGAUCUUCCUGGCCUCCGCGUCCGCGUCGGCGAAGCGCGGGACCUCGGUGCAGCUGCGCUGCCGGGAGAGAGAACGUGGCGAGUCGUCUUUGACGAGGUGGUCCGCGAGGGUGGCCACGGACGGCGACGGCGGCGGAGGUGGCGCGGAGGACAAGGGAGACGGCGGGCGCGGGGCCUUGCUCUUGCCGCUCUUGUUGCCGGUGGACGAGGAAGGCCAGAGCGUGCGAGCGAUCGAGACGGCCACGGGGGAUGUUGUGGCGCCGGGUUCCGGUCGGGAGACUGAGCGCCGGGCGCUCUGGCGGACUGGCGAGAGCGCGGAGGCGGGUAGGGGCGACCGCCCAGGCAGCUCCGCCGUGCCGGAGGCGGACGUCCACCGCUUCGACGACGACAUGAUGGCACCAGCGCGAUGGUCAGGCCAGGUAGAGCUCGGCACGCCAGGUGUGCUUUGGAUAAGCAACGACAUAUAUGAUGCUCUCGCGUUGGACGUGGGCAUCGGCACUCUGGCCGUUUGGCGUAGCAACGGCCGGCCGGCCGCUAGCGAUCCAGAGCGAGGCCGGCCGGCGUCCGAGAGGAGAACGAGUCAGCUGCGUGUUCCGCCGUGCAGGACAGCGGACGACGCCGUCGCCCCGUGAUGAGAGACAAAUGGAAGAGCAUCCUUGAUGGCUCGGCGACACUACGCACGGAGACGGGAGACGUCGACACCAGAAUCGAAGCAACAAGCGAACAGGUGAUCUGACGACUCACAGAAAGGGAAACAAAUCAUAUUCCAUUCAACAAAUUCGAUUGAUAUAUGCGAUGCGUGUGUAUCUUUGCUUCAGCUUGAUAUAUAGAAACUUACAUCUCUAGUUUUUUCCAUCCAUAAAAAAUUCUCCAUCUGUGCGUGUGCGGGCGGGUGAGCGCGGGGACGAACCACGUGUUCUGGGACCUCGUCCAUCCGACGGAGGCCACGUCGCGGAAGCUCACGGCCAUUGCCUUCGACGGCUCCCCGCGCCAUUGGUUUCACCCAUGGAUGUGAGGAAGCUGUGUGGCUAGCUUGCAAGCCAGGAGCGUUGGCGUACCAUUGUCUACUAUACUACUGUUAAGAGCAUCUUCAACAACUCACCAAUAAUUCAUCUUCAAUGACUUUCAGGCUUGGUUCCAGAAACCAUUAUCUAAGGAGGUAGGGGCGACUUUGGAAGCCCUGUUCAACAUUCAUAUGCCGGACACCGAACACGUUGACAAGGCACUGAUGGGAAUUGCAGGUGAAGCUAUAGAAGAAAUACAUGAUGAGAUGGAUAAUCUGCAAGCGGAAGCAAGGAGCAAUGCUGCAGCACGUCUGGUGGCUGUCUGGUUCCUUGCCAGCCUGUCCGGGUGUAUUUUGGUUUUAGAUGAUGUACUGCAACUCAGUUUUAGUCCCUUUUGCAAUCGGCUGCGCUGAGCUGCUGGUUGUGGGUUUUAUUUUGGUCGAGAUGUUGUACUGCAUCUUAGUUUCAGCUUCAAUUACGAACAACUCCGGAUAUGUUGCGCUGCUGCUAGCUUCCAGCCUUGUUGUAGAAUACUAUUCCAAGGCAAUGAUGGCCCUUAUUAAUUUAACAACUGUUAAUUGUGUGCUGCUAUCAGUCUGGGGUUCAUCUAUGAAUUAUGUCAGAUUUUAGCAUCCUCUCUUGGAAUGUUAGGG
rnacentral:misc_RNA from 1 species